rnacentral:lncRNA from 1 species
GGGCUCUAGGUUCUGUCCCUGUCACCGCUGACUCACUGGCUGCCGACCAGGAGUCGCUCCCAAGCUCAGCCUGCUUGUUUCUCUCUUCCCCGGUCGUGUGUCACAAAAGCAGAUGGCGUCUCUGAGAACCAGCGUCAUCUGGAGAGUGCCCUGCCCAGGGUGCCGGCUCCCCGCGGCCUCCCUUCCCCCAAAAUGCAGCUGGGAGGACCCUAGGCCCUGGCUCCACCUCCUCGAGACAGAGCUCAGGGUCCCCUUCCUGAAAGGACACAUUAACAAAGAGCAAUGCGAGAGAGAAAGAGAGUAGAGCCCUUGUCCUCUCUGCUCUGAGGAAAAUGAGAGCGACAGUUAAUGGUCCUGAGUCAUUUUCUGGGAAGAUGAGGGUGAUUUCCUGCUACAGGAAGGCACCCAACCGGGAGCCUGGUCCAGACUAGCAGGUGCUCCUACAGGGUUUGCUGAGUGAGCCUGGGAGAGCUGUGUGGGACUCCGUGGCCUCUGAAUGCUCUCCCCUCACCAGCCUGGGAGAACCUGGGAAAGACAAGGACCUCCCAGAAGUUGAGGAGCAGGGAGGGAGUGCGGGGUGGGAGAAGGGACCUCUUUUGUUGUUUUUUGAGACAGGAUCUUGCUGUGUGGUAUAGGGUGGCCUCGAACUCAUGACAAUCCUCCUGCCUCAGCCUCCCCAGUGCUGGGAUCACAGGUCACCCUGAUGUGGCCAGCAUGUGGGGCCUGGCCUGGGCGCAGCACCUGCUCGGCCAGUCUAGGUUGCUGGGCUGCUGGAAUGAGGGCCACGGCUGUGGCCUCCACACAGGGGCCUGGAAGGGCCUCAGUGGCCACAGGGGAUCAGCUCCGGGCCUUGGUCCUCCGUCUUCACAAAGCGCCUGGUGACCAGGAGAAUGGGCCGGUCACCUCCUUCCACAG